AGGUGCCCAGACCAGCAUGGAACAAUUUGGAUGAAAAGAAAGAAGCAGAUUCUGGAGAAGUUGGGGAGGACCAAAAACCCAGAUGUGGAACAGAUAGUGAGAUGAUAAACCAGAAGAGACAGCCUCAAAACCAAGAGUUUUUGCAAUUUGUUAAAGACAUUAUUUGGUCUUCUGCAUGACAUCAAAGCACCAGUGAAGAGUGAGAGAAUGACUCCAGCCUAAUCAAAAGCUAAGAGGAAUUCCUGAAGUCAAGAUGAUAUUUCAAUAUCCUCAUCAGCACACUUUCUUCCACUGAAUGUGAGAGCUUUUAAAACUAAAAAAAUUCAACCUGUACAGACAUAUCAUAUGUCGCACAUACAGAGGAAGUUACCACAGCAAUCAGAACCAUGAAAAAUGGCAAAGCACCUGGACAGUGUUUAAGGACUUGGUACAACUCAGUAAAUACAUUUGAUUGACAUAACGGA